rnacentral:rRNA from 1 species
AGUGAACGCUGGCGGUAGGCCUAACACAUGCAAGUCGAACGGCAGCACAGGAGAGCUUGCUCUCUGGGUGGCGAGUGGCGGACGGGUGAGGAAUACAUCGGAAUCUGCCCAGUCGUGGGGGAUAACGUAGGGAAACUUACGCUAAUACCGCAUACGACCUUCGGGUGAAAGAGGGGGAUCGCAAGACCUCUCGCGAUUGGAUGAGCCGAUGUCGGAUUAGCUAGUUGGCGGGGUAAUGGCCCACCAAGGCGACGAUCCGUAGCUGGUCUGAGAGGCUGAUCAGCCACACUGGAACUGAGACACGGCCGAGACUCCUACGGGAGGAAGCAGUGGGGAAUAUUGGACAAUGGGCGCAAGCCUGAUCCAGCCAUACCGCGUGGGUGCAGAAGGCCUUCGGGUUGUAAAGCCCUUUUGUUGGGAAAGAAAUCUUUCAGGCUAAUACCCUGGGAGGAUGACGGUACCCAAAGAAUAAGCACCGGCUAACUUCGUG